UACGGAGGAUCCAAGCGUUAUCCGGAUUUAUUGGGUUUAAAGGGUGCGUAGGCGGCUUAUUAAGUCAGGGGUGAAAGACGGUGGCUCAACCAUCGCAGUGCCCUUGAUACUGAUGAGCUUGAAUACACUUGAGGUAGGCGGAAUGUGACAAGUAGCGGUGAAAUGCAUGGAUAUGUCACAGAACACCAAUUGCGAAGGCAGCUUACUAAGGUGCAAUUGACGCUGAGGCACGAAAGCGUGGGGAUCAAACAGG
rnacentral:rRNA from 1 species